CGCUGUGCACGGAUGAUCUCACUGCACCCUCCCAACGUCUCUGAGAGGCAUCCCUUUUGAAUUCAGUCUUGCCUUCCAAGUCAGGUUACCGUCGGAGCCCAGCACCUAGCUAGGAAGGCAAUGAAAACUUGGCUGGGUUCAAACCCUAGGUUUGGAAGUGGGAGGGCAAAAGAAAGGCCCAAGGGGCGUGGCCUCGACUCAGUCACGCCCCCGGAACGCUGACGCCACACGAGGCCCCGCCCCUCAUUGUCAGUCUGGGGGAGCCUGAGCAGGCGCCGGCUGCUGGGAGCGAAGCGCCGGAUCCUUCGGCGGCGGGACCGCGGGCCGGAGCGGCAGAGGGCAAGAGACAGCUACCAGUGAAAGACAGUGAUUGUUUCCAAGACAGCAGGCAGUGGGGAGGGCAACGAGAAGUCACCACAGAAAGCUCCCAUUACCUAAAUGAUUUAUAAUGGUCUUCAGUUGCCAAAGAAGGUUGUGGAUGCCAAGAGAAAGGUAACCAGUUUCUCCAGUGCAGUUGGAUGCCUCUAGCAGUCCACCUUGGCUGGCUGUAGACAUGGCAGACAUGGCCAGCUACAAGGAUGCUGCCUCCAGUCGCCAUCUGCGGUUUAAGUUACAGAGCCUGAGCCGCCGCCUCGAUGAAUUGGAGGAAGCCACAAAAAACCUCCAGAAAGCUGAGGAUGAGCUCCUGGACCUCCAGGACAAGGUGAUUCAGGCGGAGGGCAGCAACUCUAGCAUGCUGGCUGAGAUCGAGGUGCUGCGUCAGCGGGUACUGAAGAUUGAAGGUAAAGAUGAGGAAAUUAAGAGAGCAGAGGACCUGUGUCAUAUGAUGAAGGAGAAACUUGAAGAGGAGGAAAGCCUUACCCGAGAGCUAAAAUCUGAGAUCGAGUGGCUUCAGAAACGAAUGGCUGAGUUAGAGAAGCUGGAGGAGGCCUUGAGCAGGAGCAAGAAUGAAUGUUCCCAGCUUUGUUUGAGCCUGAAUGAAGAGAGAAAUCUGACCAAGAAAAUCUCUUCUGAGUUGGAAAUGCUCAGAGUCAAAGUGAAAGAACUGGAGUCUUCGGAGGACCGCUUGGAUAAAACUGAGCAGAGCUUAGUGUCAGAGUUAGAAAAGCUAAAAUCAUUGACCCUGAGCUUCGUAAAGGAGAGAAAAUACUUGAAUGAAAAGGACAAAGAAAAUGAGAAAUUAAUAAAAGAGCUUACUCAAAAACUGGAGCAGAACAAGAAAAUGAGCCGAGAUCACACGAGGAACGCUUCUACUCUUUCGGAGAGGAGUGACCUGCGCAUCGAGGAUGGCAUCUCCUCCACAUUGCCAUCCAAAGAAUCGAGAAGGAAGGGCAGUCUGGACUACCUAAAGCAGGUGGAGAAUGAAAGCAGAGACAAAUCAGAAAAUGAAAAGAAUCGGAACCAGGAGGAUAACAAAGUUAAAGACCUCAACCAAGAGAUUCAGAAACUCAAGACACAGAUCAGACACUUUGAAUCUUUGGAAGAAGAGCUUAAGAAAAUGAGGGCUAAAAACAAUGACCUUCAGGAUAAUUACCUAACUGAACUGAAUAAAAACAGAAUCUUAGCUAGCCAGCUAGAGGAGAUAAAGCUGCAAGUCAAGAAACAGAAAGAGUUAGGAAAUGGGGACAUAGAAGGGGAAGAUGCUUUCCUAUUGGGCAGAGGCAGGCACGAGAGGACUAAGUUCAGAGGUCAUGGGGGUGAGGCAUCCAUGUCCAGGCACACACCCCGGGAACUGUCCCCUCAACAUAAGCGGGAAAGGAUCCGGAACAGGGAGUUUGCUCUCAAUAAUGAAAACUAUUCUCUAAGCAACAAGCAGGCUGCUUCUCCUAUUUUUGCCAACAGAAGGGCAGCCAAAGCUUCCAACAUGGGAGUGACUGCGGACAGUGGACCUCAGGAGACAAAGAGAGCUGAAGACCGAUUUGUACCUGGCUCCUCGCAGAGUGAAGGGAAGAAGAGUAGGGAACAGCCAUCAGUGCUUAGCCGUUACCCCCCUGCUGCCCAGGAGCACAGUAAAGUUUGGAAGGGAACUCCCAAGCCAGGCACUGAGAGCGGACUUAAGGGGAAGGUAGAGAAGACAACUCGAACGUUUAGUGACUCCACCCAUGGAUCUGUUCCUAAUGAUACAAUGGGUAGAGGAGACAAGACUUCUGAGAUCUCCUCUGAGGCCCACUAUGGCAAGAGAGGACAGAUGCCUGGCAGUGGAAGUCAAGUAACUCAGGCUGCAGAUUUGGGCUGUUCUAAGGCCACUGGAGCUCUGUCCUCCUCUCAGAGAGCCUCCUCAGAAGGGAAUUCUAAGGGCAAAAAGACUGCUAAUGGACUGGAAGCUGAUGCUAAUUUUCCAAAUUCUAAAGCUCCUACUUUAUCAAAGUAUCCUUAUAGUUCAAGAAGCCAAGAAAGUAUCAUUCAGGGCUUUUCAACGCCAACUAAAGAAGGAGUUGAUCAGUCUGUAGCAGUUGUAAUGGAAGACAGCAGUCAGCAUGAAGCUCUGAGGUGCCGUGUCAUCAAAUCCAGUGGCAGAGAGAAGAUGGACUCAGAUGAUGACUUGGACAUAGAAUCUCUUGUCACUGCCAAGUUGGUGAGCACAACUAUCACUCCAGAGCCAGAGCCCAAACAACAGCCAAACUCUAGAGAAAAGGCCAAGUCCCGAGGGGGACCUAGAACUGCCCUAUUUGAAAAUAAUAAAAAUGCUGCAAUAGAAAACGAAUCUGUGAAAUCUACCAGAGCUUCCUCCAAUGCUGUAGAAUUCCCAGAUGCCAAUGGUGCUGGGGUGAAAAACCAAAGGCCCUUCAGCCCCAGAGAGGCCCUGCGGUCCAGAGCGAUUAUAAAACCUGUUAUCAUUGAUAAGGAUGUGAAAAAAAUCAUGGGAGGAUCUGGAUCUGAGGUUGUCCUGGAGAAGCAGAGGUCCUCCACCUCUAAACCUGUGCCAAGCAAAGUGACAAGCAGCAUCACCAUCUACCCCUCUGACAGCAGUGGCCCUAGAGCCAUCCCAGGAGAGGCCCCAAGGGAGAGGCAUACCUCCACCAGCAAUAUCCAGGUGGGGCCCCCAGAGCUCACAUCAGUCAGCAACCAUGUCAGCUCCCCCCUUGAGCUCUCUAUUCAUAAACAUGACGUCACCUUGCAGCUCACAGAAGCUGAAAGAAUGGGAGAUGGGUCUCCAAAGAAUAGGCCAGAGACAGUGGUCUCUCGGAGCAGCAUUCUAAUUAAGCCAUCAGAUGCUGUGGAGAGGAAUAGUCAUGCCCCCCCAGCGGAGACAAUCAGGUGGAAAAGCCAUAGCACCUCUUCAGAGGUAGGCUCUUCAGAUCCCAGACACGUCACUGUGCGGAAUGCUUGGAAGAGUAAGCGAGACUUGAAAUGUUCAGAAGACACCCCAACUCGAGUAGGUAGGCACAUGGAAUCUACCAAUGCCUACACACAGAGGUCUUCCACAGACUUCUUAGAGCUGGAACAGCCCAGGUCCCUCCCUUCUGAACAGGGCACUCGGAAGGUAGGAAAUGCAGGGGAUGCUCCUGAACUCUCCUGUAGAAGGACCCAAAGUAGCCUCACUGCAUCAGAGGUUCUCACCCGGAGGAAUCGGAUAGGAGAUGCCACCACUGCCGCCUCCUGGAACCACUCAGCAAGCAUGGAGGAAGGGGAGGACGGCACAUUUGUUAUCAGCAGGCGAGUGCACAACGCCCUGGAGCAUUCUGAACUGCCUGGGAAGCAGGGGUUGCCAGAGUCUGAGCAAGUCUGGGCUGAGGAGCGACUACAGCUGGCCAGGCCAUAUGCCGAGGAAGACUGAGCCAGCUAGGUGACAUCUGCUAAUUUCUUCCCUCCUCCUGCUUCUCAGCUCCUCCCCUUUCCUGGCCUGAGAAGGAUCCAAGGCCAGUUAAUCAGGCUAGACACAAAGGCCUUGGCUGGGAGACUGUAGAGAGCCAGGCUAUGGCUCAGUUGGCUCCUUGUUUGCCCUAAGGGACCACCCAAGAACCAUCAGCCAUCAUUUCCAUCUAGGGGGCCUACAUGCCUGUCUUUGAGUUCUUGAGAAUUUGGAAACAGAAAAGGGGUCUGUGCCGUGCCUCUAAGUAAUUAUGAUUAUGGGACCACCUUUACGUUGAAGCUUCCUGACUCAGCCUUUGGCUAACCAGUUUCUUGGAGGCAGAGCAUGAUACCAAAUGGAAUGAUACCAUCCUCCAACUUCAGUUCUCAGCUCACCUUCCAAAGGCAUCAGAAACAGACAGAUCUCAUGCAUCUCCUUUCCCGGGCACCAACAUUGCUGCUGGCAUCACCUCUGCUCUUGCUGGGGGCUGGAAACUUCAGCGGACUUCAUCAUUCUUAUCUUGGGAAAAUCCCUAGACUGAGCUGGCUUGACCCAGCAUACUCUGCCUUCUAGGAAGUGCCCAGCAAAUGGGAAAGCAAACAAGAACAAGCGAAUUCCUUUAGUCACUCCACAAAGCAAUAGCUCCAUGAAAGGCAUGGACUGACUGCUCUCUCCCAUUCCUCCUCCAUCCUGUGGAGCAGGCCUCGCACUUUACCCUGCUGACUGCUGAUGCACCAAUUCCCACACAAGCAAGCCCUUGGUAUCCACGAGUAGAUCAUUAUUUCAGUGAUUUCAUUGGAGGAAAGCCAAUACCUGCCUGUUGAGGGCCUCAGAUUUAUGCAGUUCAAAGUGCAUUAAGCCUUUUAGGAAGGCAGAUAAAUAAAAAAAAAACUUUUAUCUCCUUAUACCAACCACAUGGGGAGGUUAACUAUUUGCUUGUUGCUGAAUUUUUUGAAGCAUUCUUUCUGUUCAAAGGGAUCCUCCAUGGCUACCUAUGUGAAGUGGAUGUCAUUGCCUUGUCACUGGACUAGGAGUCUGGAAAGCCAUUUGUCCCUGUCCCUCCUGGCUUUGUCACUCCUUGCUCUGUGAUCUUUGGCAAAUCAUUGUCUUCUUGGAGCCUCAGUUUCCCCUAUCUUUAAGAUGAGUUCUUUGUUGGUUUUUCAUUUGUUGCUCACAUGUCUGUACACACGUGCAUGCUGGGGUUGAACCUAGGACGUGGCAUGCUAGGCAAGUGUUCUGCCACCUCUGCUUCACAGCUCAAA